CGGCGGACGGGUGAGUAAUGCCUAGGAAUCUGCCUGGUAGUGGGGGAUAACGUUCGGAAACGAACGCUAAUACCGCAUACGUCCUACGGGAGAAAGCAGGGGACCUUCGGGCCUUGCGCUAUCAGAUGAGCCUAGGUCGGAUUAGCUAGUUGGUGAGGUAAUGGCUCACCAAGGCGACGAUCCGUAACUGGUCUGAGAGGAUGAUCAGUCACACUGGAACUGAGACACGGUCCAGACUCCUACGGGAGGCAGCAGUGGGGAAUAUUGGACAAUGGGCGAAAGCCUGAUCCAGCCAUGCCGCGUGUGUGAAGAAGGUCUUCGGAUUGUAAAGCACUUUAAGUUGGGAGGAAGGGCAGUUACCUAAUACGUAAUUGUUUUGACGUUACCGACAGAAUAAGCACCGGCUAACUCUGUGCCAGCAGCCGCGGUAAUACAGAGGGUGCAAGCGUUAAUCGGAAUUACUGGGCGUAAAGCGCGCGUAGGUGGUUCGUUAAGUUGGAUGUGAAAUCCCCGGGCUCAACCUGGGAACUGCAUUCAAAACUGUCGAGCUAGAGUAUGGUAGAGGGUGGUGGAAUUUCCUGUGUAGCGGUGAAAUGCGUAG
rnacentral:rRNA from 1 species